UUUUCAAUGAGCUACGAUUCUUUUUAUGUAUAUUUAAAAAAGUUUAUCUACAUGCACUUAAAAAAAGUAUUUUUUUUAAUUAAUAUUAUGUUAUUUUACAAUUAUUCUUCAAAUUCUUUAUUGGAUCCCAGUGAAUAUCAUCGGCAAUAUCAUUCGGAAAAUUUGGCUAAAAGAAUUUGCAAUGGCAGAUAUAUUACAAUAUCCUUCAAAAUGAUGUGUUAUAUAAAUGAAGGUGAAAAUAUUGUUUAUGAACCGCGCAAGGAUAUUCGUUACAAAUGUAGAAAACCAGUAACUAAUGAAAAGAUUUUUUUUGGAAUUUAGUUUUUUUUGUAUUAAAAAUUAGUUAAUUUUAUUUUAUAAAUCAUUAAAUAUAUAUUUCUGAGAUUAAAAACUAAUAA